rnacentral:rRNA from 1 species
GAUAAACGCUAGCGGCAGGCUUAACACGUGCAAGUCGAGGGGCAGCAUAGAUUGUAGCAAUACAAUUGGUGGCGACCGGCGCACGGGUGCGUAACGCGUAUGCAACCUACCCGUCACAGGGGGAUAAUCCGGAGAAAUCUGGUCUAAUACCCCAUAACAUAUGGAUCGGCAUCGGUUCAUGUUGAAAUUUUCGGAGGUGACGGAUGGGCAUGCGUAGCAUUAGCUUGUUGGUGAGGUAACGGCUCACCAAGGCGACGAUGCUUAGGGGGACUGAGAGGUUUUCCCCCCACACUGGUACUGAGACACGGACCAGACUCCUACGGGAGGCAGCAGUGAGGAAUAUCGGUUAAUGGGCGCAAGCCUGAACCAGCCAUGCCGCGUGCAGGAUGACGGCUCUAUGAGUUGUAAACUGCUUUUGUACGAGGGAUAAAUCGGGAUACGUGUAUUCCGUUGAAGGUACUGUACGAAUAAGGAUCGGCUAACUCCGUGCCAGCCGCCGCCGUAA